GACGAACGCUGGCGGCGUGCUUAACACAUGCAAGUCGAGCGGUAAGGCCCUUUCGGGGGUACACGAGCGGCGAACGGGUGAGUAACACGUGGGUGACCUGCCCUCCAGUUCUGGGAUAAGCCUGGGAAACCGGGUCUAAUACUGGAUAUGACCUCAUGACGCAUGCUGUGGGGUGAAGCCUUGUGCGACUGAGGAUGGGCCCGCGGCCUAUCAGCUUGUUGGUGGGGUGAGGCCUACCAAGGCGACGACGGGUAGCCGGCCUGAGAGGGCGACCGGCCACACUGGGACUGAGACACGGCCCAGACUCCUACGGGAGGCAGCAGUGGGGAAUUCUUGCG
rnacentral:rRNA from 1 species